UACGUAGGGUGCAAGCGUUGUCCGGAAUUAUUGGGCGUAAAGAGCUCGUAGGCGGUCUGUCGCGUCUGCUGUGAAAACUCAGGGCUUAACCCUGAGCUUGCAGUGGGUACGGGCAGACUAGAGUGCGGUAGGGGAGACUGGAAUUCCUGGUGUAGCGGUGAAAUGCGCAGAUAUCAGGAGGAACACCUAUGGCGAAAGCAGCUCUCUGGGACGGUACUGACGCUGAGACGCGAAAGCCGUGGGGAGCAAACAGGAUAGAA
rnacentral:rRNA from 1 species